AACGAACGCUGGCGGCAUGCCUAACACAUGCAAGUCGAACGAGAUCUUCGGGUCUAGUGGCGCACGGGUGCGUAACGCGUGGGAAUCUGCCCUUUGGUUCGGAAUAACAGUUGGCAACGACUGCUAAUACCGGAUGAUGACGAAAGUCCAAAGACUUAUCGCCAGAGGAUGAGCCCGCGUAGGAUUAGCUAGUUGGUGUGGUAAAGGCGCACCAAGGCGACGAUCCUUAGCUGGUCUGAGAGGAUGAUCAGCCACACUGGGACUGAGCCACGGCCCAGACUCCUACGAGAGGCAGCAGUGGGGAAUAUUGGACAAGGGGCGAAAGCAUGAUCCAGCAAUGCCGCGUGGGUGAUGAAGGCCUUAGGGUGGUAAAGCUCUUUUACCCGGGAUGAUAAUGACAGUACCGGGAGAAUAAGCGCCGGCUAACUCCGUGCCAGCAGCCGCAGUAA
rnacentral:rRNA from 1 species